UUUUUAUAUGCAAGCUCCUGGAAUGCCUGUGGUUUCUCCAGCACCUGGGUCCUGCUGGCAACCAGCAGCACCCAGUGGCCAGCAGCGUACUCUUUCACCUCUUCUUGGGUGACUUUGUGGAAUGCUCCAAUGUGACAUCUCCCUGUGAACGCCUUUCCUGACACCCUAAAAAGUGUCAGGAAUUUCCAGCAAGUUCCAGAGAGCAGGUUUCCAGCAAGUUUGGUCAGUAUGACACCACAGCGAUAUCUCUGCCAUUCACUGAACUUGGAUUCUUCCUUCUUCAGUGAGAGAUGUUCAAGAAAAAGAACAACUUCAGUGGAAGAAGAAGAAGAUAGGAGCCCAGGUCCUGUGUUUCACCAAGACAGCCGUGCAAAGCAGAUGCUGCCAAAAAGGUGCAAAGUGGUUUGUCAGCUCUUCUGCAUGUUCUAACAAAUUAGACAUGCAUCCCAAAAGGUUUCCUAGACUUUCCAUCACCACCAGUGAAUUCUGAGUGACAAUAGUGUGGAAUUUGGAAGAAUGGAAGAGAAACUGAAGUGGAGAGAUGGUGAAAGAGAAGAAAAAAUGAAGAAAGAUGCUUGCAAAAAUACUGCUGUGGGUCCUGAGAUGAGGAUUCUGGGAGGGCUGAAAUGGAUGCCCCUGACAGCUCCCUUUGAGUUCCUGUUCAUCUGAAGUACACCAGCUUUCUAGAUAUGCUGUCACUUUCCUUCUGCAGAGCCACAGUGGUGUCCUGUCUUCUCAGACCUCUUCUCACCUCAAAUCACUUAGGACUCGGCCACCAGACAGAUUUGGGAUUUCAGAACUUUUCAGAUGUUAGAAAGUUCUUUUCUAAAUGUGAUGAGGAAUUACGGAAUCAUAAAAUGGAAGCAGAGUUAAACUCAGACAUGUGGGCACUCAAGGCAAUUAGGAGCUUUCUGCGAUGAGAAAGGGAUCAGACUGAUCCUUAAGACUUUAUGCAACCCCAGAGUAUUGCAGCCACCUGCAUGCCGAAGGUGUCAAGAGUGUUCUCACUGCUGCCUAUAGGAGGGUCUUCAGCCUCCAGUGAUCCAAAGUACCAGGCUGACCUGUGACUGCUUCGGCCAACUGAAUAGGGAAGAGUGAUGCUGUGCUGUUUCCAGGCCUGUUCUUUAAAAGUACUUGGAAGCUUCUGCCUUGGCCUCUUUGUGCCUGAGUUGCUGUAUAAGAAUCUGACUACCUUGCUGGAGAGACCUUGUGGAGAAGACUUGACCUUAUAUGCAGAGGUAGAGGGGCCCUGGUUAGUCCAGCCAUCUAGCCAUCCUGUCAAAAUAGCAGGAGUAUGAUGGCCAAUGGAUCCAAAACCUAUCCUAUAUCUACAUGUUGGUGGCCACAUUAAUCUGACAUCUGACAGCAAGAGCGAUGAUUGGGUUCACUGGAAAUCUUUGUGAAGUACGAGUGAAGUCCUUGUGAAGUCAGAGUUUCCUCUUCAUGCCUCUACUCCUAUGCAGUUUGACCUCUCAGUGUGCAGCUGGUGAUAGAUGGAAACCCUUGUUCAUAAGCUUUGUGGCACUGUCGGCAGGAUGAGGGGACUUCUGGAUCCUCACUGGUCACUGUGGCAGAGUGGUUGGUGUUGUCUGCUCCCUAGACAGGAACCCACUGAAGAAUCUGACAUUUUUUGAUAUGCUGGCAUUCAUUGUUACAGCCCAUCAUCCCAGCCAUCAAUCCAGGACAUGGGGUCUGUGCCCACGGUGGGAAGGAGGAGGGGGAAGCUGGCUUUGUUCUGACGUUGGGCUUCUUCUGCUCCACCAGUACUUUCUGUGGGGGAAAUAGGUAAAGAAAUGGCUGUUCAGAUGAGAAGAUGUGUCAGUAAACUUUUGCUACAGUGAUGCUGCAAAACAAAUCACUGGUGACUUUCAGUGGCACACAGCAAUAAACAUUUAUUUAGCUCAGGGAUUGACAAUCUUUUUUUUUUUUUAAAGGGCCAAAUAGUAAAUAUUUUAGGUGUUUCAGGCCAUACAGUCUCUGAACUCUGAACUUGUAGCACAACAGUAGCCUUAGAUGCUAUGCAAAUGGAGGAGCAUGACUGUGUUCCAAUAAAACUUUAUUUAUGGACACUAAAAUUGGAAUUUCAUGGAAUUUUUAUAUGUUAAGAAAUAUUAUACUUUGAUUUUUU
rnacentral:lncRNA from 1 species